GUCUUCAGAGAUAUCCACGUGAACGCUGUGAUACGUCUGACCUUCAGUCCGAAGAAGAAACCCAGACCAGUCUUAAAAGAAAGCACAAACCAAAUCCCCUGUACACAUAUACGGACUCAGAGGAUGAGUUUUUUUGUGGGGAAAGCCUACAAAAAAACGGUUUCCCCAGGCCCCUCGAGUGAAAAUACCAGCCCUCAUCACUCCGCAGUCUGCCCCCCAGCCCACUGAUAGCAACCAUCAUAAUGCCCCACCCAGCUUCCGGCACCUUUCGCCACUCCGGCACAAACCGACACAGCUUUGCGAUCUCGCCAGCAUGCAGAGUCUGAUGUCUUCCCUAUAGAUGAUUCCAGAGACUCUGUGAAGCCACUAUUACAAGGUGAGACGCUUUGCGUUGAUUGGUGCUGCUGGACCACACUGGAGGUGCGAGUCCGCCGUGUAAUGGUUUAUGCCAUUACAAAGGAGCUGGCCUCUGUACUCAACUGGGCAGGGAAAAAAUACCAAGGACCAGACAAAGCAAAAAAGGGCAUUUAAAGAGACAGCGCCGUGCAGAUGCAUAUUUGAUGGCCUGGCGCAGCAGGUAGGGGCGAACUCUAUGUCUGAGUUGGUCUUUGCUCAAGCAGUCCAGAAAUGGCUCAGAUAUGCUCCAGAUCGUACGGGUGGUGCGCAGGACGCCCAUCAUCCAUCCCCAUCCCGGAGUAAAUAAUAAAAAGUGACGUGAAACAUAGAAAUGUAAAU